GUCUCUCUCUCCAGAAUCUACUCUGCUUCUCUUCCUGUCUCUCUCUCCAGAAUCUACUCUGCUUCUCUUCCUGUCUCUCUCUCCAGAAUCUACUCUGCUUCUCUUCCUGUCUCUCUCUCCAGAAUCUACUCUGCUUCUCUUCCUCUCUCUCUCCAGAAUCUACUCUGCUUCUCUUCCUGUCUCUCUCUCCAGAAUCUACUCUGCUUCUCUUCCUGUCUCUCUCCAGAAUCUACUCUGCUUCUCUUCCUGUCUCUCUCUCCAGAAUCAACUCUGCUUCUCUUCCUGUCUCUCUCUCCAGAAUCAACUCUGCUUCUCUUCCUGUCUCUCUCUCCAGAAUCAACUCUACUUCUCUUCCUGUCUCUCUCUCCAGAAUCUACUCUGCUUCUCUUCCUGUCUCUCUCUCCAGAAUCUACUCUGCUUCUCUUCCUGUCUCUCUCUCCAGAAUCUACUCUGCUUCUCUUCCUGUCUCUCUCUCCAGAAUCUACUCUGCUUCUCUUCCUGUCUCCCUCUCCAGAAUCUACUCUGCUUCUCUUCCUGUCUCCCUCUCCAGAAUCUACUCUGCUUCUCUCCCUGUCUCUCUCCAGAAUCUAAACCAUGCUUCUCUUCCUGUCUCUCUCCAGAAUCUACUCUGCUUCUCUUCCUGUCUCUCUCCAGAAUCUAAACCAUGCUUCUCUUCCUGUCUCUCUCUCCAGAAUCUACUCUGCUUCUCUUCCUGUCUCUCUCCAGAAUCAACUCUGCUUCUCUUCCUGUCUCUCUCUCCAGAAUCAACUCUGCUUCUCUUCCUGUCUCUCUCCAGAAUCUACUCUGCUUCUCUUCCUGUCUCUCUCCAGAAUCUAAACCAUGCUUCUCUUCCUCUCUCUCUCCAGAAUCUAAACCCUGCUUCUCUUCCUGUCUCCCUCUCCAGAAUCUACUCUGCUUCUCUUCCUGUCUCCCUCUCCAGAAUCUAAACCAUGCUCCUCUUCCUGUCUCUCUCCAGAAUCUAAACCCUGCUUCUCUUCCUCUCUCUCUCCAGAAUCUAAGCCCUGCUUCUCUUCUUCUCUCUCUCCAGAAUCUAAACCCUGCUUCUCUUCCUCUCUCUCUCCAGAAUCUAAGCCCUGCUUCUCUUCCUCUCUCUCUCCAGAAUCUGCUUCUCUUCCUGUCUCUCUCUCCAGAAUCUACUCUGCUUCUCUUCCUGUCUCUCUCUCCAGAAUCUACUCUGCUUCUCUUCCUGUCUCUCUCCAGAAUCUAAACCCUGCUUCUCUUCCUGUUCCUCUCUCCAGAAUCUACUCUGCUUCUCUUCCUGUUCCUCUCUCCAGGUUCUAAACCCUGCUCCUCUUCCUGUCUCUCUCCAGAAUCUAAACCCUGCUUCUCUUCCUGUCUCUCUCCAGAAUCUACUCUGCUUCUCUUCCUGUCUCUCUCCAGAAUCUACUCUGCUUCUCUUCCUGUCUCUCUCCAGAAUCUAAACCCUGCUUCUCUUCCUGUUCCUCUCUCCAGAAUCUACUCUGCUUCUCUUCCUGUUCCUCUCUCCAGAAUCUAAACCCUGCUUCUCUUCCUGUUCCUCUCUCCAGAAUCUACUCUGCUUCUCUUCCUGUUCCUCUCUCCAGGUUCUAAACCCUGCUCCUCUUCCUGUCUCUCUCCAGAAUCUAAACCCUGCUUCUCUUCCUGUCUCUCUCCAGAAUCUAAACCCUGCUUCUCUUCCUGUCUCUCUCCAGAAUCUACUCUGCUUCUCUUCCUGUUCCUCUCUCCAGAAUCUAAACCCUGCUUCUCUUCCUGUCUCUCUCCAGAAUCUAAACCCUGCUUCUCUUCCUGUCUCUCUCCAGAAUCUAAACCCUGCUUCUCUUCCUGUCUCUCUCCAGAAUCUAAACCCUGCUUCUCUUCCUGUUCCUCUCUCCAGAAUCUAAACCCUGCUUCUCUUCCUGUUCCUCUCUCCAGAAUCUAAACCCUGCUUCUCUCCCUGUCUCUCUCCAGAAUCUAAACCCUGCUUCUCUUCCUGUCUCUCUCCAGAAUCUAAACCCUGCUUCUCUUCCUGUCUCUCUCCAGAAUCUAAACCCUGCUCCUCUUCCUGUCUCUCUCCAGAAUCUAAACCCUGCUUCUCUUCCUGUUCCUCUCUCCAGAAUCUACUCUGCUUCUCUUCCUGUUCCUCUCUCCAGAAUCUAAACCCUGCUUCUCUUCCUGUUCCUCUCUCCAGAAUCUACUCUGCUUCUCUUCCUGUUCCUCUCUCCAGGUUCUAAACCCUGCUCCUCUUCCUGUCUCUCUCCAGAAUCUAAACCCUGCUUCUCUUCCUGUCUCUCUCCAGGUUCUAAACCCUGCUCCUCUUCCUGUCUCUCUCCAGGUUCUAAACCCUGCUCCUCUUCCUGUCUCUCUCCAGAAUCUAAACCCUGCUUCUCUUCCUGUCUCUCUCCAGAAUCUACUCUGCUUCUCUUCCUGUUUCUCUCCAGAAUCUAAACCCUGCUCCUCUUCCUGUCUCUCUCCAGAAUCUAAACCAUGCUUCUCUUCCUGUCUCUCUCCAGAAUCUAAACCCUGCUUCUCUUCCUGUUCCUCUCUCCAGAAUCUACUCUGCUUCUCUUCCUGUUCCUCUCUCCAGGUUCUAAACCCUGCUCCUCUUCCUGUCUCUCUCCAGAAUCUAAACCCUGCUUCUCUUCCUGUCUCUCUCCAGAAUCUAAACCCUGCUUCUCUUCCUGUCUCUCUCCAGAAUCUACUCUGCUUCUCUUCCUGUUCCUCUCUCCAGAAUCUAAACCCUGCUUCUCUUCCUGUCUCUCUCCAGAAUCUAAACCCUGCUUCUCUUCCUGUCUCUCUCCAGAAUCUAAACCCUGCUUCUCUUCCUGUCUCUCUCCAGAAUCUAAACCCUGCUUCUCUUCCUGUCUCUCUCCAGAAUCUAAACCCUGCUUCUCUUCCUGUUCCUCUCUCCAGAAUCUAAACCCUGCUUCUCUUCCUGUUCCUCUCCAGAAUCUAAACCCUGCUUCUCUCCCUGUCUCUCUCCAGAAUCUAAACCCUGCUUCUCUUCCUGUCUCUCUCCAGAAUCUAAACCCUGCUUCUCUUCCUGUCUCUCUCCAGAAUCUAAACCCUGCUCCUCUUCCUGUCUCUCUCCAGAAUCUAAACCCUGCUUCUCUUCCUGUUCCUCUCUCCAGAAUCUACUCUGCUUCUCUUCCUGUUCCUCUCUCCAGAAUCUAAACCCUGCUUCUCUUCCUGUUCCUCUCUCCAGAAUCUACUCUGCUUCUCUUCCUGUUCCUCUCUCCAGGUUCUAAACCCUGCUCCUCUUCCUGUCUCUCUCCAGAAUCUAAACCCUGCUUCUCUUCCUGUCUCUCUCCAGGUUCUAAACCCUGCUCCUCUUCCUGUCUCUCUCCAGGUUCUAAACCCUGCUCCUCUUCCUGUCUCUCUCCAGAAUCUAAACCCUGCUUCUCUUCCUGUCUCUCUCCAGAAUCUACUCUGCUUCUCUUCCUGUUUCUCUCCAGAAUCUAAACCCUGCUUCUCUUCCUGUCUCUCUCCAGAAUCUAAACCCUGCUUCUCUUCCUGUUCCUCUCUCCAGAAUCUAAACCCUGCUUCUCUUCCUGUCUCUCUCCAGAAUCUAAACCCUGCUCCUCUUCCUGUCUCUCUCCAGAAUCUAAACUCUGCUCCUC